rnacentral:lncRNA from 1 species
CUGCAGAUGCGCACCCUGAUGAGUUAGUUCUAACUGGACACGAGACCGACUCACGGCCAUUUUCCAGCUUCUCUUAUAGCUAAAUGGACAGGGAAUAUGGAUGCCUCUCCUUCCUUCUGGCUGGACAGUGGAGUGAUGACACUAUCCUGACCCGAGGGCCAGUGCUGUAUAUGGCGGAGCAUGAGAUAGAGAGGGCCUGGGACCUUGAAGACUGUGGUAUAA